rnacentral:tRNA from 1 species
AAAGAUUAAUAAGUUUAGGCUUCUAACCUAAAAUUAAUGAAAUUUUCAUUUAAUCUUUA